rnacentral:rRNA from 1 species
UACGUAGGGGGCAAGCGUUGUCCGGAUUUAUUGGGCGUAAAGAGCGUGUAGGCGGCCAGACAGGUCCGUUGUGAAAACUGGAGGCUUAACCUUCAGACGUCGAUGGAAACCGUCUGGCUAGAGUCCGGAAGAGGAGAGUGGAAUUCCUGGUGUAGCGGUGAAAUGCGCAGAUAUCAGGAAGAACACCCGUGGCUAAGGCGGCUCUCUAGUACGGUACUGACGCUGAGACGCGAAAGCGUGGGGAGCGAACAGGAUAG